ensembl:miRNA MIR192 microRNA 192
CUGACCUAUGAAUUGACAGCCAGUGCUCUUGUCUCCCUCUGGCUGCCAAUUCCAUAGGUCA